rnacentral:rRNA from 1 species
UACAGAGACCCCAAGCGUUGUCCGGAAUCAUUGGGCGUAAAGGGUGCGUAGGCGGCAUGGUUAGUCGUGUGUCAAAGCUCGGAGCUCAACUCCGAAGUUGCGCACGAAACGGCCAAGCUCGAGGAUGGGAGAGGUGAAUGGAACUCAUGGUGUAGGGGUGAGAUCCGUUGAUAUCAUGGGGAACACCAAAGGCGAAGGCAAUUCACUGGCCCACUCCUGACGCUGAUGCACGAAACCUAGGGUAGCGAAAGGG